AUUCCAUGAUGGGGACAUUCUAGGAUGUAGUCUUGAAAGCACUCACAUGCUUCUAGACCAGACUCAUCAUGUUGUUGCUGAAAGCUUGAAAUUUUCCCACACAGAGC
rfam:Sorghum bicolor cultivar BTx623 chromosome 8, whole genome shotgun sequence.